AAAGGCGCAAUGAAAGUGAAGGUCCGCCUUGCGCGGACCGAGGGAGGAUGGGUGGUCCCGAGGGGCCGCCUCGCACUCCCGGGGCGUCUCGUUCUCAUCGCGAGAAGAGGCGCACCCAGAGCGUACACGCUGGGACCCGAAAGAUGGUGAACUAUGCCUGGUCAGGACGAAGUCAGGGGAAACCCUGAUGGAGGUCCGUAGCGAUUCUGACGUGCAAAUCGAUCGUCGGAACUGGGUAUAGGGGCGAAAGACUAAUCGAACCAUCUAGUAGCUGGUUCCCUCCGAAGUUUCCCUCAGGAUAGCUGGCGCUCGCUUCUCGCGAGUCUCAUUCGGUAAAGCGAAUGAUUAGAGGCAUUGGGGUCGAAACGGCCUCAACCUAUUCUCAAACUUUAAAUGGGUGAGAUCUCCGGCUUGCUUGAACUGUGAAGCCGCGAGAUAUCGGAUCAGAGUGCCAAGUGGGCCACUUUUGGUAAGCAGAACUGGCGCUGUGGGAUGAACCAAACGCUGAGUUAAAGCGCCUAAAUCGACGCUUAUGGGA
rnacentral:rRNA from 1 species